AGGUUAAGUUAUUAAGGGCGCAUGGUGGAUGCCUUGGCACUAGGAGCCGAUGAAGGACGUGACUAACUGCGAUAAGCUUCGGGGAGUUGUAAGUAAACUGUGAUCCGGAGAUUUCCGAAUGGGGAAACCCAACAGGAGUAAAGACCUGUUAUCACUGAGUGAAUACAUAGCUCAGUUGAAGGUAGACGUGGGGAACUGAAACAUCUAAGUACCCAUAGGAAGAGAAAGAAAAUUCGAUUCCCUGAGUAGCGGCGAGCGAAAAGGGAACAGCCCAAACCAAGAAGCUUGCUUCUUGGGGUUGUAGGACUGGACAUUUGAGUUACCAAGAAACGAAGUAGUUGAAUGAUUUGGGAAAAUCAGCCAGAGAAGGUGAUAGCCCUGUAAGCGAAACUUCGUUUCCUCAGCCCAGUAUCCUGAGUACGGCGGAACACGUGAAACUCCGUCGGAAUCCGGGAGGACCAUCUCCCAAGGCUAAAUACUCCCUAGUGACCGAUAGUGAACCAGUACCGUGAGGGAAAGGUGAAAAGCACCCCGGGAGGGGAGUGAAAUAGUUCCUGAAACCAUGUGCCUACAAGUAGUCAGAGCCCGUUAAUGGGUGAUGGCGUGCCUUUUGUAGAAUGAACCGGCGAGUUACGUUAGCGUGCGAGGUUAAGGCGCAAAGGCCGGAGCCGUAGCGAAAGCGAGUCUGAAUAGGGCGAAUGAGUACGUUGACGUAGACCCGAAACCAGGUGACCUACCCAUGUCCAGGUUGAAGGUGCGGUAAGACGCACUGGAGGACCGAACCCGUGUAUGUUGAAAAAUGCUGGGAUGAGGUGUGGGUAGAGGUGAAAUUCCAAACGAACUUGGAGAUAGCUGGUUCUCUCCGAAAUAGCUUUAGGGCUAGCCUCGGAGUUAAGGAUCGUGGAGGUAGAGCACUGUUUGGACUAGGGGCCCGUCUUGGGUUACUGAAUUCAGAUAAACUCCGAAUGCCACAGAUCUAUAUCCGGGAGUCAGACUGCGAGUGAUAAGAUCCGUAGUCGAAAGGGAAACAGCCCAGACCACCGAUUAAGGUCCCUAAAUAUGUGUUAAGUGGAAAAGGAUGUGGAAUUGCACAGACA
rnacentral:rRNA from 2 species